rnacentral:rRNA from 1 species
GACGAACGCUGGCGGCGUGCCUAAUACAUGCAAGUAGAACGCUGAAGAGAGGAGCUUGCUCUUCUUGGAUGAGUUGCGCACGGGUGAGUAACGCGUAGGUAACCUGCCUUGUAGCGGGGGAUAACUAUUGGAAACGAUAGCUAAUACCGCAUAACAAUGGAUGACCCAUGUCAUUUAUUUGAAAGGGGCAAAUGCUCCACUACAAGAUAGACCUGCGUUGUAUUAGCUAGUAGGUGAGGUAACGGCUCACCUAGGCGACGAUACAUAGCCGACCUGAGAGGGUGAUCGGCCACACUGGGACUGAGACACGGCCCAGACUCCUACGGGAGGCAGCAGUAGGGAAUCUUCGGCAAUGGGGGCAACCCUGACCGAGCAACGCCGCGUGAGUGAAGAAGGUUUUCGGAUCGUAAAGCUCUGUUGUAAGUCAAGAACGAGUGUGAGAGUGGAAAGUUCACACUGUGACGGUAGCUUACCAGAAAGGGACGGCUAACUACGUG